UGGCGGCAGGCCUAACACAUGCAAGUCGAGCGGUAGAGAGAAGCUUGCUUCUCUUGAGAGCGGCGGACGGGUGAGUAAUGCCUAGGAAUCUGCCUGGUAGUGGGGGAUAACGUUCGGAAACGGACGCUAAUACCGCAUACGUCCUACGGGAGAAAGCAGGGGACCUUCGGGCCUUGCGCUAUCAGAUGAGCCUAGGUCGGAUUAGCUAGUUGGUGAGGUAAUGGCUCACCAAGGCGACGAUCCGUAACUGGUCUGAGAGGAUGAUCAGUCACACUGGAACUGAGACACGGUCCAGACUCCUACGGGAGGCAGCAGUGGGGAAUAUUGGACAAUGGGCGAAAGCCUGAUCCAGCCAUGCCGCGUGUGUGAAGAAGGUCUUCGGAUUGUAAAGCACUUUAAGUUGGGAGGAAGGGUUGUAGAUUAAUACUCUGCAAUUUUGACGUUACCGACAGAAUAAGCACCGGCUAACUCUGUGCCAGCAGCCGCGGUAAUACAGAGGGUGCAAGCGUUAAUCGGAAUUACUGGGCGUAAAGCGCGCGUAGGUGGUUUGUUAAGUUGGAUGUGAAAUCCCCGGGCUCAACCUGGGAACUGCAUUCAAAACUGACUGACUAGAGUAUGGUAGAGGGUGGUGGAAUUUCCUGUGUAGCGGUGAAAUGCGUAGAUAUAGGAAGGAACACCAGUGGCGAAGGCGACCACCUGGACUAAUACUGACACUGAGGUGCGAAAGCGUGGGGAGCAAACAGGAUUAGAUACCCUGGUAGUCCACGCCGUAAACGAUGUCAACUAGCCGUUGGAAGCCUUGAGCUUUUAGUGGCGCAGCUAACGCAUUAAG
rnacentral:rRNA from 1 species